rnacentral:rRNA from 1 species
CUCCUAGUACGAGAGGACCGGAGUGGACGAACCUCUGGUGUACCGGUUGUCACGCCAGUGGCAUCGCCGGGUAGCUAUGUUCGGAAGAGAUAACCGCUGAAAGCAUCUAAGCGGGAAACUCGCCUUAAGAUGAGAUAUCCCUGGGGACUAGAUCCCCUUGAAGGGUCGUUCGAGACCAGGACGUUGAUAGGUCAGGUGUGUAAGCGCAGUAAUGCGUUCAGCUAACUGAUACUAAUUGCCCGUAAGGCUUGAUCCUAUAACG